rnacentral:lncRNA from 1 species
CUUUAAACCAGACAAAAACAGGAACUGCUGUGUGUAUAAAGCCAGGCUCGAUUAGCGUGCGCACAGCUCUCAUUCAUCUGCCAUCUGAGCUUUACCACACCAGGUUUAAUGAGUCUAAAGACUGAAGAGGACUGGCUUACUGUUAAACGAUGCAAUGAUGCUAGCUCUUGGAGUUCUCAGUGUAAUUCUGAGCAUUAUGCAAACUUCUAAAGCCACAGAAUCAAAAGGACUCACCUGUGAGACAGAUUACUGGCUCACCAUCAACUGCUCUCUGGAUCCAAAAACCAUUCCCAACAGGAGCGAACACACCUCCUACUGGCUGGAGUUUCAUUUUCAAGACAUACAUGAUAACAUAAAGAUCUAUAACUGCUCACUUACUGAAAAAGAGAACGGGUACUACUGCAGAUUCAAGGCAGUGAAUCUUCCAUACUUUCCCACAUUUAAUUCUGCUCUAUAUUUUGCUGUUUACCUUUCCUACCUGGAGAAUGGCCUUAAGAAGUCUUCAGUACUGGAUCACAAGUUUUAUCCAGUUAAACACAGUAAGAAAUAUUGGAAUAUUGCCUAUUGUUUUUAUCUAACCUGUUAACAUCAAUUAACUGUGCAAUAUAUAUAUAUAUAUAUAUAUAUAUAUAUAUAUAUAUAUAUAUAUAUAUAUAUAUAUAUAUAUAUAUAUAUAUAUAUAUAUAUCACAAAACAGUG